rnacentral:rRNA from 1 species
UACGGGGGGAGCAAGCGUUGUUCGGAUUUACUGGGCGUAAAGGGCGCGUAGGCGGUCAGCACAAGUCAGUUGUGAAAUCUCCGGGCUUAACUCGGAAAGGUCAACUGAUACUGUGCGACUAGAGUGCAGAAGGGGCAACUGGAAUUCCCGGUGUAGCAGUGAAAUGCGUAGAUAUCGGGAGGAAUACCGAUGGCGAAGGCAGGUCUCUGGGCUAUAACUGACGCUCAUGCACGAAAGCGUGGGGAGCAAACAGG